rnacentral:rRNA from 1 species
UACGUAGGGUGCGAGCGUUAAUCGGAAUUACUGGGCGUAAAGCGUGCGCAGGCGGUCUGUUAAGACCGAUGUGAAAUCCCCGGGCUUAACCUGGGAAUUGCAUUUGUGACUGCACGGCUAGAGUGUGUCAGAGGGGGGGUAGAAUUCCACGUGUAGCAGUGAAAUGCGUAGAUAUGUGGAGGAAUACCGAUGGCGAAGGCAGCCCCCUGGGUCAAGACUGACGCUCAUGCACGAAAGCGUGGGGGAGCAAACAGG